rnacentral:rRNA from 2 species
GCAUAGUCUUAAACAAAAGUAUUUUAUAUUACAUCAUACUCGCCAGGGUACUACGAGCUUUAGCUUAAAACCCAAAGGACUUGGCGGUGCUUUACACCCACCUAGAGGAGCCUGUUCUAUAACUGAUAACCCCCGUUAAACCUCACCCUAUUUUGCCUAAUCAAUCUAUAUACCGCCGUCGUCAGCUUACCUUAUGAAAGAACAACAGUGAGCAGAAUUAGUAACAACCCAAAACGUCAGGUCGAGGUGUAGUUUAUAAUAGGGGAAGAAAUGGGCUACACUCAUUUAUUAAUGAAUACGGAUGGUAUAUUGAAACAUAAACCUAAAGGAGGAUUUAGCAGUAAGAAGAAAAUAGAGUGUUCAUCUGAAAUUGGCUCUAAAGCGCG